CCUACGGGUGGCAGCAGUGGGGAAUAUUGGACAAUGGGCGAAAGCCUGAUCCAGCCAUGCCGCGUGUGUGAAGAAGGCCUUCGGGUUGUAAAGCACUUUCAGUGGGGAAGAAAGCCUUGGGGCUAAUACCCUCGAGGAAGGACAUCACCCACAGAAGAAGCACCGGCUAACUCCGUGCCAGCAGCCGCGGUAAUACGGAGGGUGCGAGCGUUAAUCGGAAUUACUGGGCGUAAAGCGCGCGUAGGCGGUCUGAUAAGCCGGUUGUGAAAGCCCCGGGCUCAACCUGGGAACGGCAUCCGGAACUGUCAGGCUAGAGUGCAGGAGAGGGAGGUAGAAUUCCCGGUGUAGCGGUGAAAUGCGUAGAGAUCGGGAGGAAUACCAGUGGCGAAGGCGGCCUUCUGGACUGACACUGACGCUGAGGUGCGAAAGCGUGGGUAGCAAACAGGAUUAGAUACCCAGUAGUC
rnacentral:rRNA from 1 species